rnacentral:tRNA from 1 species
GCGCCCCGUAGCUCAGCUGGAUAGAGUACCUGACUACGAAUCAGGUGGUCGGGAGGUUCCGAAUCCUCCGCGCGCCA